AUUGAACGCUGGCGGCAUGCCUUACACAUGCAAGUCGAACGGCAGCACGGGCGCAAUCCUGGUGGCGAGUGGCGAACGGGUGAGUAAUAUAUCGGAACGUGACCAGCCGGGGGGGAUAACGCAGCGAAAGCUGUGCUAAUACCGCAUACGAUAUAUGGAUGAAAGCGGGGGGUCGCAAGACCUCGCCCCAUUGGAGCGGCCGAGAUGAGAUCAGCUAGGUGGUGGGGUAAAGGCCCACCAAGGCGACGAUCUGUAGCUGGUCUGAGAGGACGACCAGCCACACUGGAACUGAGACACGGUCCAGACUCCUACGGGAGGCAGCAGUGGGGAAUUUUAGACAAUGGGCGCAAGCCUGAUCCAGCAAUGCCGCGUGCAGGAUGAAGGCCUUCGGGUUGUAAACUGCUUUUGUACGGAACGAAACGGUCCUUUCUAAUACAGAGGGCUAAUGACGGUACCGUAAGAAUAAGCACCGGCUAACUACGUGCCAGCCGCCGCGGUAA
rnacentral:rRNA from 1 species